GACGAACGCUGGCGGCGUGCUUAACACAUGCAAGUCGAACGGAAAGGCCCUGCUUUUGUGGGGUGCUCGAGUGGCGAACGGGUGAGUAACACGUGAGUAACCUGCCCUUGACUUUGGGAUAACUUCAGGAAACUGGGGCUAAUACCGGAUAGGAGCUCCUGCUGCAUGGUGGGGGUUGGACAGUUUCGGCGGUUGGGGAUGGACUCGCGGCUUAUCAGCUUGUUGGUGGGGUAGUGGCUUACCAAGGCUUUGACGGGUAGCCGGCCUGAGAGGGUGACCGGCCACAGUGGGACUGAGGUACGGCCCAGACUCCUACGGGAGGCAGCAGUGGGGAAUAUUGCACAAUGGGCGGAAGCCUGAUGCAGCAACGCCGCGUGCGGGAUGACGGCCUUCGGGUUGUAAACCGCUUUCGCCUGUGACGAAGCGUGAGUGACGGUAAUGGGUAAAGAAGCACCGGCUAACUACGUG
rnacentral:rRNA from 1 species